UAACGGGUGAAAGUCCCGUCGUGGUAAAAGCCGGAGCCAUGUAGCUUGGAUGGCAGGGGGCGAUGGAAACAUUACCUUCUGAAGCCUGUCGAUUGGUAAAGGCCAACGAUACAGACCGGGUCAAAU
rnacentral:ncRNA from 1 species